UACGGAAGGGGCAAGCGUUGUUCGGAAUCAUUGGGCGUAAAGGGCGCGUAGGCGGUCGCGUGUGUCUGCUGUGAAAGCGCACGGCUCAACCGUGUGAAGUCGGUAGAAACUGCGGGACUUGAGGCUGGGAGAGGUUGGCGGAAUUCCCUGUGUAGCGGUGAAAUGCGUAGAUAUAGGGGAGAACACUCGUGGCGAAGGCGGCCAGCUGGACCAGCCCUGACGCUGAGGCGCGACAGCGUGGGGAGCAAACAGG
rnacentral:rRNA from 1 species